CAAGUCGAACGAGAAAGCACCUUCGGGUGUGAGUAGAGUGGCGAACGGGUGAGUAACACGUGAGCAACCUGCCUCUCACUUCGGAAUAACUCAGGGAAACCUGUGCUAAUACCGGAUACUCCGUACAUUCCGCAUGCUAUGUACGGGAAAGCCUUGUGCGGUGAGAGAUGGGCUCGCGGCCCAUUAGGUAGUUGGUGGGGUAACGGCCUACCAAGCCGACGAUGGGUAGCCGGGUUGAGAGACCGACCGGCCACAUUGGGACUGAGACACGGCCCAGACUCC
rnacentral:rRNA from 1 species